rnacentral:rRNA from 1 species
AGAGUUUGAUCCUGGCUCAGAUUGAACGCUGGCGGCGUGCCUAACACAUGCAAGUCGAUCGGUAACGCGGGGCAACCUGGCGACGAGAGGCGGACGGGUGAGCAAUAUUUGGGAAUCUGCCUAUUAGUGGGGGAUAACCCGGGGAAACUCGGGCUAAUACCGCAUACGCACUACGGUGGAAAGCCGGGGACCGCAAGGCC